rnacentral:rRNA from 1 species
GACGAACGCUGGCGGCGUGCUUAACACAUGCAAGUCGAACGGAAAGGCCCUGCUUUUGUGGGGUGCUCGAGUGGCGAACGGGUGAGUAACACGUGAGUAACCUGCCCUUGACUUUGGGAUAACUUCAGGAAACUGGGGCUAAUACCGGAUAGGAGCUCCUGCUGCAUGGUGGGGGUUGGAAAGUUUCGGCGGUUGGGGAUGGACUCGCGGCUUAUCAGCUUGUUGGUGGGGUAGUGGCUUACCAAGGCUUUGACGGGUAGCCGGCCUGAGAGGGUGACCGGCCACAUUGGGACUGAGAUACGGCCCAGACUGCUACGGGAGGCAGCAGUGGGGAAUAUUGCACAAUGGGCGGAAGCCGGAUGCAGCAACGCCGCGUGGGGGAUGACGGCCUUCGGGUUGGAAACCGCUUUCGCCUGUGACGAAGCGUGAGUGACGGUAAUGGGUAAAGAAGCACCGGCUAACUACGUG